ACCAAAAUUUCAAUUUGAAAAUCUGGCUUAAUAUCAGAGUGAAAUACUUGCGAAAGAAUAUUUGAACAUUUUAUUAACCUGCUCUCACAUAGGGUUCAGAAAACCGGGCAAUGUUAAAAUUGCUUGACAAUAUAAUAGCUAUUUUUUGGAAUAGUUUUCAGAAGUCUAAGUGCAAUAUAUAUAAAUGGUACAAGGAAACACCUUAAAUGAGCUGUACAUUCUGUGUAGAAUUUUCUGGAGACAUUUGCCGAUAGUCCUUAACAUUCAAAAUUUUGAUGCCUAUAUUGACUCGAAUAAGAAGCAGGUUGAAAUUUGGUAUAUUGUACUGCGGAUUUCAAAAUGCUUACAAGAAUCUAAUGCCCUGGCCAGAAGAGUAGAAUCUAAAUGAACGAUUCUUAAAUAGUAGUCUACAAAGAACUGUAGAGCCAAAUUUUCUUAACUAUUCAAGGUGAAACUAAAGCUCUUAAUUUUCGCUAAAAAGUUAAAUUAUUUGCUUUAAUGAAAAGUUUUAGUUUGCCUAGAAUCGACAUAAAUAGUUCUCACUACUUUAACGGAGUUUUUAAAAAUACAUUUUGGUCAAAUAAAAGGGAUAAAAUUUUUGUUAGCAUAUAACAAAUUUAUAAAAUCUUACUUUUUGAUGUUAACCCAUAACCAUCAACCUAUGGCCAUUUAGUCAUCAAAAUCGUUCAGUUCUGUGAGACAAAGAAAAUAAGUAAGCACGUAUAACCUAAUUUUUAUUUAAACAUUACUUAAACUAGGAAGACACUUUAUAUUUUAAAAUUAGUAAGAUAUUUCUAACUUUAAAUUUUAAUAUGUUAAAAGUCAUUUGCUUGUAAUGAUAUUACUCAUAGAAAUAAAAAUUUUCUAGCUUUUAAUUAUAUGUAUUUCUUAUGUUCUUGUAUGAGCUUUAAUUUCAGUAAAUUUUAUGAAAUUAUAUCCGUAUCUUUUAAAAUGACCCUAAACAAAUUGAUAAACCAGUUGUCAUUAAAUAUCAAUUUGUUCUUAUUUCCUUCCUAUUCGUUUCAUCAAUCAAAAUUUAAUUGAAUAACUCUUCUGUAUUUGACAAACAUUCAAAUGUGAGUGACAAUGUAGAAAUUUAAAAUAAACAAUUCCAACAUAGUAUUUUUCCAGCUUUACAAUAAAAUAUCUAUUAAGUAUCUUGAAUACUGUAAACAUCGAAAGCACCUGAAUCAGGUAUAAAGUUCAAACUUUUAAAGUUCAAUACAUUUUUAAAAUGAAAUAUUCAAUUAAGUAUCUUUAAUUAAAUGUUUUUUUAGUAAAGCUUUAGGCUAUGUGGAGAGAAGUUAUAGACAGUGUAAACAUUCAUCUAUGAAAUGGUAUCCCACAAUAGAAUUGAGUUAACACUUCUUACAUACUAGUGUUUUGGAAUUAUAUUUUUGUAGUGGUAGAUAUACACAAGGCUAUUACGACUCUACUCUCUAGAAUAUUACUUGAAAGUUUAAAUAAAUCUUGCCACUAAUAUAUAUAUUUACUUUGAAAAUUUUAGUACAUGAAAAAUGAAAUGUUUGAACAUUUGCAACUGUACGAACUCUUAUCUAUGAUGAGUAACUGUAAAUUAAAUUUUUAUUGAUGUUUGAAAGUACAAAUGUAUUACAGCAGGUAUACUCUUCAUAUUGUUCAAAAACGUACUAUGUUUGUUUUUAAAUAUUUGUUUCUUUCUCUCCCUUAUUGGAUUAGAUUGUUUAAUUUAUCCUGUUUUGAGCCAAGGUACUGUUUUUCUCUUUUGUAUUUUUCAGAAUUGUCUGUAUUCUUGAUUGGUGGCUGAUGUGCAAGUUUUGAGGUGCUAUGACCACACAGGGUGAAAGGCUUCGAGAACGUAUCAAAUUAUUUGAAGAGGAAAAAAGUGAUUGGAUGGAAAAAUGUUACCAGCACAAAGAUUGUCUGUAUUCUUGAUUUUUUGCUGAUGUGUAAGUUUUGAGAUGCUAUGACCACACAGGAUGAAGGGUUUCGAGAAAUAAUUAAAUGACUUGAAGAGGAAACAAGUGAAUGGAUGGAAAAAUGUUACCAGCACAAAGAACGUGUCAAUAACUUUUUUGUUAAGCUAGUGGGUGAGACGAUGAACUUUAUUUUUCCUUGUUUUUUUGAAGCUGUUUUUAAAGCACAAAUGAAAGUCGCACUGAAUGUUAAGUCUCCAGAUUAUGUGUUGUCGACGAAGUUUUGUGAACUUUUUGGUGAAUGAGACUAAAAAAUAGGACACUUGUCCCCCAAUGAGAUGACUAAAUUUCAAAUCCCAUCCAUGGCUGAUUGAUAACAGUUCUGCCAGCUUGCACAGACCAAAGUGCUGACGUAAAAUAUCCUCAGUGGUAGACGGAUCACGACUUAGAAUCCAAUAUCGUCAAGCUAACCGUGGGCGGUUUUCCUGGUUUUCCUCUCAUGUAACGCAAAUGCGGGUUAGUUUAAGCAAAGUCCUCCAGGAAGGCUAGAACUUAUAAAAUUUUUAAACUAUUAGAUCGCGUUAUUUCUCAUGUGUAACAAUAAAGUUGUAAAAGAAUUCUUUAAGAAUUUGAGUAGUUUAGAGAUAUUAGUGAAACUCAGAAGUGGCUUUGUUUUUUUUAACGCUGGUUCAACCUUUUUACGGUCUUAUGAUUGCGGUCUUAUUAUAGGGAAAAUUUGUUGCAAAAUGUGUUUUUAUAGUUAGCUAUUUCAAGUUUUUCCAUUUAAAUUUUCAAGUGGUUGUAAAUAUUUUGUAUAUUGUAUUUAGAUAUAUUUAUUGUAUUAAAUUGUUCGGUAUACUAUUGUAAAAGUGGCAAUUUUGUAAGAUUGUUGUGACAUGAAGUUUCAACUUCAUUUGCUUUGUAAAUUAGAUAGAAAUAAAUAUGUUAUGUAUGUUAA